CCACAGCAGGGCCCAGAGUCGGGAGCGCACAUGCUUGUAAACGGGAGGACGAGUGUGGUGCACAGACCGUAACACAGAGCUCAGAGCUAAGCUGCAGUCACAGCUCGUUUUUGACAAUCAUCAUCUACCAGCUGAUGGAGAGAAGCUGUGGUGAAGAAUCACGCAGGUCACUGGGAGACGCAGCAGCGUGGGUUCAGCUCCUGAGAACCUCAGCAGGACAUCUGCAUCUCAACUCUACCUUCCACUCAUCAAACCAUAUAUUCUGCAGGCAGGAGUCUUGUUUCUGGCCAGGAGGAUCUGUAGCUGACCUUACAGAUGAUGCUGAAGACAACAGGCAGUUUGUGGCUUGCACUUCUGGUCAGAGCAGGCUGCUGAGUGUGGACUUCAAGGACUGUUUUAAACAUCUUCAUGGACAGUACAGUAGAUUUAUUCCCUUGAGGCUAUAUAUUUUUAAUACUGUCUUGCCAUGUUUAAAACAUUUUCCUAUUUAAAUUAAUAUUUCUAUUAUAAUUUUGGUAAAUAUUCUWCAAUAAAGUGUUAAAUGGUUUUAGUUUUUUGUAACUGCUCAUUAGAACUAAAGCAUCACUUUACCAUUGAACAUUACUGAAUUAUCUUUUGAUCAAUUACAAAACACAAACUUACAUUAAUCAUGAUGAAUCACUGGGUCAGUGCUAGACAUGAAAAA